rnacentral:misc_RNA from 1 species
UUUCCGUAGGUGAACCUGCGGAAGGAUCAUUAAUGAAUGAAAUUGAGUGGGGUUGUCGCUGGCCUUUCAACGGGCAUGUGCACACCUUGUUCAACCAUCUCUAUACCACUGUGCACUUCUCAUGGGUUAGGUUGCGUCUGAAAUAUUGACGGGACCUCUCCUGUGUUGCCUUAUACACACGCUUAUGUUUUAGAAUGUCAAUACAAUGCAUGAAUGCAUAUAAAUACAACUUUCAACAACGGAUCUCUUGGCUCUC